rnacentral:rRNA from 1 species
AGAGUUUGAUCCUGGCUCAGGAUCAACGCUGGCGGCGUGCCUAACGCAUGUAAGUCGAACGCAGCACCUUCGGGUGCUGAGUGGCGAACGGCUGAGGAACACGUACGAACCUGCCCUCUCGUGGGGAAUAACGCCGCGAAAGCGGUGCUAAUACCGCGUACGCUGGGGCUUCGGCCUCAGGAAAGUCUUCGGACGCGGGAGGAGGGGCGUGCGGCCCAUCAGGUUGUUGGUGGGGUAAUGGCCUACCAAGCCGGUGACGGGUAGCUGGUCUGUGAGGACGAUCAGCCAGACUGGGACUGCGAAACGGCCCAGACACCUACGGGUGGCAGCAGCGAGGAAUCUUCCACAAUGGGCGCAAGCCCGAUGGAGCAACGCCGCGUGGAGGACGACGGCCUUCGGGUUGUAAACUCCUUUCGGGGGGGAGGAUACGGACAGUACCCCCAGAAGCAGCCCCGGCUAACUCUGUGCCAGCAGCCGCGGUAAUACAGAGGGGGCAAGCGUUGUCCGGAAUUACUGGGCGUAAAGCGCGCGCAGGCGGUGGUCUAUGUGCCGUGUGACAGGCGGGGGCUCAACCCCCGGCUCGCAGGGUAGACAGGGCGACUGGAGGCAGGGAGAGGGAUGUGGAAUGCCCGGUGGAGCGGUGAAAUGCGUAGAGAUCGGGCGGAACACCGCGGCGAAGGCGGCAUCCUGGCCCUGACCUGACGCUGAGGCGCGAGAGCGUGGGGAGCGAACUGGAUUAGAUACCCUAGUAGUCC